GAAGAAAACGAACAGCAGAGAGCAGAGCCACGAAACGAAUCCAAGGAUUGCUUCCUGAUCUUCUUCUUCAUUUGGCGUUUCCAUCAAGAAAAUCCACGAUAUGCAGAAUCUGUGAGCUGUGGUUAGUUGAAGAAGACGAGGAGGAUAUAAAGUUUACGCGGUAAAAAUGGCGGCGUCGCUGAUGUUUCAGUUGCCGUUGCAGUACUAUUCCUACGCUUCUUCAUCCAUCUCGGAUCUCUCCGGUCGCCGGAAUUCCAGUUUAUGUAAACCGUAUGCGGUGGUUUUUGACCGGAAAAUCGGUCUGUGCGGUGGCGGAGAUCGCCGUAGGACGAACCGGAGGUACGGUAGUGUGAUAGUUCAGGCGGAGAAAGGCGAUGCGGCGGAGACUAGAGUGCCGGUGCCAUUGACCGUGGAACAGCAAGAGAAGAAGAGGAAAGAGAAAGACGAAGACGAUGAAGGAGAGGGAGAGGUGGAUCCUGAUGAUCUCGAAUACGUCAGCGAGAUCAAAAGGGUAUUGAAGCUUCUCAGGAAGAACAGAGACAUGCUCUUCAGUGAGGUUAAGUUGACUAUCAUGAUCGAGGACCCAAGAGAGGUGGAGAGAAAGAGGUUGCUUGGGAUAGAGGAUGCCGACGGCCCGACCAGAGAAGAUUUGGCUGAAGCCUUGGUACAGGUAAAUGAAGGAAAAGUCCCAAAAGACCAACUUGCACUUCGGAUGUUGUAUGAGGAAAUGAUCAAUUGGCCAAAUUUAGAGGUUGAGGCUCUGAAGACAAAUCGAGGAAAGUCAUUGUAUGCAAAAGCCACAGAUACGGGAAUCGAUCCAAAAGAGGCGGCCAAGAGACUAAACAUAGACUGGGAUUCAGCUGCUGAAAUCGAGGAUCCUGAUGUCAAUGACAGCAAAGAAGUUCCUGCGGCUGUGGACUAGUUUCAACUGAACUUAGAUGAAAAAACAAGGUGAUCACUCUAGCAAAAGAUGCAGUGGUUAUGGAGCGUUGUACUUAGUCACGGCUUUUCAAAUUAUCAUCGGCAUCCCUGUUGUAUUGAUCUUAUUUUACAAUUCCCUCCAGUAGUAGAACUGCUUUCCUGAUCUAUCUCAAUGUACAUUAAAACCCCGAAAUGAAAUUUUCAUUUUUUUUUUGUCAA